UUCUUCUUUUCUUUUCCCAUUUUGGGUUUUCCUAGGAACCUUUCCCCCUCCCCCCUAUUUUUCUUGUUUUUGUUGUCCUUGUAUAUGGUUCUGGUUCUAUGGUAUUGGAAGCUUCCAUCAACUGCACAUGUCUUGGUGUUUUGCAGGUCCUAGUGGUCCUUUCGGAAAGAAGUUAAAACAACGCAAGAAGUCGUGAAGAAUUAGGAUUGGAGCCGAUAUACCCUAAUUCCUAGCUUGGCUAAUUUCCUUGGAGUGUCAGAGUAAAUAUUGCCUUUAUCUUUCAUUGCAGGGAUAUCUUUGAAUUAUGGGGGAAGAAACGGGAAUUAUGCUGCGUGCUGAAUUCUUGACCAUGGAGCUGCCAUCAACCAUCAUGCCUUUCUUCAUCAGUGUCGCAAAUACUCAUUUAUGUGUCUGAACUUGCGAAACAUAAUGAUUAAAGUAAUAAUACCUUGGCACAUAUUUAGUUUGGAGGAGUAGUGUCUUGUACUUAAAACAUGUUUUUAGUGGUUUGAAUUAUAGAGUAAUGCACGAAAUAAUCAACAAACGAGGACAGUGUCUGUUCUGAUAGUGCUAAAGCUUUAAAACGAUAUCCAAUUUAAAUUCGAAAAGCUUUAUCACUCCAUGCAUAAAGCCAUGAUGGAGAAUUAUGCUUUGACUCAACAUGCUUACCAACAAGUUUGCAGGGUUCUUGAUGAAUUUGAUCAAGGAACAAAUCCAACAGAAAUGUAGUUGAACAGCCAAUCUAUUUUAGUCAACUGUCAUAAGCUCGAGAUGAGGAGGAACCUUCAGCACCACACCUAACAGAAAUAUCAUAUUAAAUUUAUACCAUCGUGGUUUGUCAGACUAAGUUAAUUAUUAGUGUUUGAGUUAUCUAAUCGAUCUUGUCUCAAGGCCAACUGUUAAGAAAGUUACCUCAGCUACAGUACAUAAAAUUAACAAUUAUAAAAGCAGUUGGCGUGUGAUCUUCCACGUAAAAUGGGGUCCAAUCUGUUCGGUUAUUGCCUUCAUCCUUGAGUUGCAAGCAGGAACCGGAUAAUGUGUCAUCCUGUCAUUGGCAUCAUCAAUACUCAUUUCGUAUGCUAGGGCAUCAUUAAUGAAGCAAAGAAGAAACCAGGAAGAUUUUGAGGCAGCAAGGGUUUUACAAUGGGGAAGUUUUGUUGCAUGGACUCUGAUGAUGGUGAUGGUGGCUUUGAUUACAACAAAAUUUUCAUGGUGUUAAUCAUAGCUCUAGUGCUCAUGGCUUUCUGCAUCCCACAACCACGACGUACCGUUUAUGCUGUCCGCCGUUGCCGUUGAAAGCUUUGAUUCAUUUCAUGUUUUCUUUAAUCUCUUUCAAGUGUCUCAUUACUGCAGCAAAUAAGAUACGAUGACAGCUUUUGUAACUUGUAAGAAUCUGGAAGCUCUUACUUUGUUAUGUUUCAAUUGAAAGCUGCUGUUAGUUCAUUUGCAGCAUGGAGAUGGAUACAUUUUUCCAUUCUGGAUAGUUGUUGAACAUGUUUGUAUAAUCUGAUUCAUUGUUGUUUCCUCUU